rnacentral:rRNA from 1 species
UACGUAGGGAGCAAGCGUUGUCCGGAAUCAUUGGGCGUAAGGCGCGCGUAGGUGGCCUCGUAAGUCCGCUGUGAAAGUCAAAGGCUCAACCUUUGAAAGCCGGUGGAUACUGUGAGGCUAGAGUACGGAAGAGGCGAGUGGAAUUCCUGGUGUAGCGGUGAAAUGCGCAGAUAUCAGGAAGAACACCAAUGGCGAAGGCAGCUCUCUGGGACGGUACUGACGCUGAGACGCGAAAGCGUGGGGAGCGAACAGG